GGAAGAGUGGCAGAGUGGUUUAAUGCAUCGGUCUUGAAAACCGACGACUGUAAUGGUCCGUGAGUUCGAAUCUCACCUCUUCCGCCA
rnacentral:tRNA from 1 species